rnacentral:rRNA from 1 species
GGUUUGGAAUAACACGAGGAAACUUGUGCUAAUACCGGAUAAGCCCUUACGGGGAAAGUUUUAACGCCAAGAGAUGAGCCCACACUUGAUUAGCUUGUUGGUAAGGUAAAAGCUUACCAAGGCUACGAUCAAUAGCUGUUCUGAGAGGAAGAUCAGCCACACUGGGACUGAGACACGGCCCAGACUCCUACGGGAGGCAGCAGUAGGGAAUCUUGCACAAUGGAGGAAACUCUGAUGCAGCGAUGCCGCGUGAGUGAAGAAGGCCUUUGGGUUGUAAAGCUCUUUCGUCGGGGAAGAAAAUGACUGUACCCGAAUAAGAAGGUCCGGCUAACUUCGUGCCAGCAGCCGCGGUAAUACGAAGGGACCUAGCGUAGUUCGGAAUUACUGGGCUUAAAGAGUUCGUAGGUGGUUAAAAUAGUUGGUGGUGAAAUCCCAGAGCUUAACUCUGGAACUGCCAUCAAAACUUUUUAGCUAGAGUAUGAUAGAGGAAAGCAGAAUUUCUAGUGUAGAGGUGAAAUUCGUAGAUAUUAGAAAGAAUACCAAUUGCGAAGGCAGCUUUCUGGAUCAUUACUGACACUGAGGAACGAAAGCAUGGGUAGCGAAGAGGAUUAGAUACCCUCGUAGUCCAUGCCGUAAACGAUGUGUGUUAGACGUUGG